CUUUGACAUUUUCGGUCACCGCGCAAACGCAGGGCAGCCAACGUGAUGACCCGAACCGGGCAAAACUUCCUCUUUCAUUCAACGUGUGUCAAGCGGUAAAGACGUACUUUAGUGUACCUGCUUUCCCGCAUUUCCUAAAAUGAGAGCUAAGUGGCGUAAGAAGCGUAUGCGGAGGUUGAAGCGUAAACGCAGGAAGAUGCGUGCGAGGUCCAAGUAAAUCACUGGAUUCCAAGACGUCCGUAUUUCUAAAAUAAGGAUAAAUCCCAACACACGAGACAAAAACCAACAAGUCCCCCGUCUGGUGCUGAGUUUCGGUUCCGGAUUGUACGGUUUCGAACGGCUUCGGGCCAUCAAAUGAGUGCACACGGUUAAUUCCAUAAUUGUGAUUUUAUCGUACAACAAUGAUGUCCAAUAAACAACCACGAGGAAGAGUUAACCGGCUUUUGGGCAGCCCGGGUGUGUUCCCGGUUGAAGGAGCCGGUGCUCAGAUCGGCGGUGGAUUAAAAA